ensembl:lncRNA
AUCAGAUUAUAUACUGAGGAUGAAACAUUUUCCAGAUUCUUUCUUUAAAGUGUUUAUUAAAAUGUCAAUGCACGCUACACACAUUUGUUAAAAUACAAACAGGACAUUAUACUGUUUUAUGAAAUAAAAGUUGAAUCAAUAUGAACAGUCAGCUACAGUCAAUAAUGCAUGCAAGCACUUUAUAUAAUGUGUUGGGCAUCUUCCUGACACGCUAUCACAAGAUGAUAGAAAUGAUAUGGAGGUUGUGAUGACUUAGAAAAAUAAAAAACAGCUUCAGCACAACCAGGAUCCACUCUUAUUGUUAAUUCUCUGUUCGCUGUGACCUCUGCUUUCCUCUUUAUUACAAUCACUGCUACAAUCCCUCCAACCACCACCAGCAGCACUGCCAGUCCUGCACACACAGCAUAGGCAGCAACAUUAGAGCCUGUUGAUGGAUCGGCUUCGGGGUCAGAUUUCGGGCUCCGUUCUACUACUACUGUUUUUAUGGAAGUCGUCUUCUAAAACAACACACCAGUACACUCCUUGGUCUCUUGCCUCCAGGUGGAAUAUAUUGAACAAGGAGCCAUUCUCAGACAGAGACAGUCUUCCUCUCAGAUCCCCGGGGAUGUGAACAGUCGCGUCCCUUGAGUCGUAGAUACGUUUAUUUUUGCCCAAUCCAGGCUCCGGUGCCACUGCACCCUAUGGAUAUCGUCUCUGUCAGCGUUGCACUCCAGCAGCGUGUUCCCGCCCUCAACGGAAACUUUUUCUUGGGAUUCUUUUUGGGAACAAUUAACCAGAACGUACUGCAAUUCAAGCGAGGAGGAGAUGCACGAAUAGUCCCCACUGAGCUCAUCAGAAAAAGCAGGAAUGACCAAUGAGAAGUCUUCAGAUUUUUCACCAAAUGACACGUGCAUCUUCUCGCUAUCCCCAUCGAGACUCCCAAAGGGAGACUCCCAGUGCUGGUCGUUCCCUUCAGAGGGGCAUAGUAACACCACUUUGUCCCCGUCCGAGGCAAAAAUGUACCUGCUGUCACUGCCUUCUGACGGUUCCACGUUCUGAAAACUGAGACAGUUCUCACCUUUGCUCACAAGACAAAUAAAAUGUAGAUUUUUCUUUAACUGGCUGUUUUUGAGUAAGAGCAAUGUCCCGUGAUCUCUGACCUCCACCACACUCUGUAGCUCCUUCACCAGCGGCACCAAUAACACGGUGCUAUCCAGGAGGAGCGUUGGCUUGUAUGAGGGAUACGACUCGUAGUACCAGCGCACAGAGGUUCCCUCCCAACCGAUGUAUCUGCUGUUGCAUUGAAUCUCAGCCCCUCCGUUUUCUUCCUUCACAUGAAUCUCUUCAGGUGAGGCUUCCUCAUUGCACACAAACAGCUCCUGUUUGUGCUGGCUGUGCU